rnacentral:rRNA from 1 species
AGUGAACGCUGGCGGUAGGCCUAACACAUGCAAGUCGAACGGCAGCACAGUAAGAGCUUGCUCUUACGGGUGGCGAGUGGCGGACGGGUGAGGAAUACAUCGGAAUCUACUUUUUCGUGGGGGAUAACGUAGGGAAACUUACGCUAAUACCGCAUACGACCUACGGGUGAAAGCAGGGGAUCUUCGGACCUUGCGCGAUUGAAUGAGCCGAUGUCGGAUUAGCUAGUUGGCGGGGUAAAGGCCCACCAAGGCGACGAUCCGUAGCUGGUCUGAGAGGAUGAUCGGCCACACUAGAACUGAGACACGGUCCAGAGUCCUACGGGAGGCAGCAGUGGGGAAUAUUGGACAAUGGGCGCAAGCCUGAUCCAGCCAUACCGCGUGGGUGGAGAAGGCCUUCGGGUUGUAAAGCCCUUUUGUUGGGAAAGAAAAGCAGCAGGUUAAUACCCCGCUGUUCUGACGGUACCCAAAGAAUAAGCACCGGCUAACUUCGUG